rnacentral:rRNA from 1 species
UGGGGAAUUUUUGUCAAUGGGGGCAACCCUGAACAAGCAACGCCGCGUGAAGGACGAAGACCUUCGGGUUGUAAACUUCUGUCGGAGGGGACGAAGGCGGUAGUGGUUAAUACCCAGUAUCGUUGACGGUACCCUACGAGGAAGCCCCGGCUAACUCCGUGCCAGCAGCCGCGGUAAUACGGCGGGGGCAGGCGUUGUUCGGAAUUACUGGGCGUAAAGGGCGCGCAGGCGGGCGGGAAAGUCUCUCGUGAAAGCCCACGGCUCAACCGUGGAAUUGCGGGAGAUACUACUCGUCUUGAGUCCGGGAGAGGAGUGUGGAAUUCCCAGUGUAGCGGUGAAAUGCGUAGAUAUUGGGAGGAACACCGGUGGCGAAGGCGGCACUCUGGACCGGUACUGACGCUGAGGCGCGAAAGCGAGGGGAGCAAACGGGAUUAGAUACCCCUGUAGUCC